rnacentral:tRNA from 1 species
GGGCUCGUAACUCAGCUUGGCAGUGUACGUACGCUAAUAGUGACCGACUCAUAAUCGGUUUGUCGUGGGAUCGAAGCCCACCGGGCCCA